rnacentral:rRNA from 1 species
GACGUAGGGGGCAAGCGUUGUUCGGAAUUAUUGGGCGUAAAGCGCUCGUAGGCGGGACAGGAAGUUCGUGUUGAAAGACCUCGGCUCAACUGAGGGACCGGCUCGAAUACUCUUGUUCUUGAGGCAAUCAGAGGGUGAUGGAAUUCCCGGUGUAGCGGUGAAAUGCGUAGAUAUUGGGAAGAACACCGGUGGCGAAGGCGGCUCACUGGCUCAUUUCUGACGCUCAGGCGCGACAGCGUGGGGAGUCAAACAGG